rnacentral:rRNA from 1 species
AACGAACGCUGGCGGCAUGCCUAACACAUGCAAGUCGAACGAGAUCUUCGGGUCUAGUGGCGCACGGGUGCGUAACGCGUGGGAAUCUGCCCUUUGGUUCGGAAUAACAGUUGGAAACGACUGCUAAUACCGGAUGAUGACGAAAGUCCAAAGAUUUAUCGCCAGAGGAUGAGCCCGCGUAGGAUUAGCUAGUUGGUGUGGUAAAGGCGCACCAAGGCGACGAUCCUUAGCUGGUCUGAGAGGAUGAUCAGCCACACUGGGACUGAGACACGGCCAAGACUCCUACGGGAGGCAGCAGUGGGGAAUAUUGGACAAUGGGCGAAAGCCUGAUCCAACAAUGCCGCGUGAGUGAUGAAGGCCUUAGGGUUGUAAAGCUCUUUUACCCGGGAUGAUAAUGACAGUACCGGGAGAAUAAGCUCCGGCUAACUCCGUGCCAGCCGCCGCAGUAA